GUUAUUACAUUUAUGGAUUUGUAAGGAUGCCCCCAUGCAGAGAGACACUUAUAAAGAACCCCGAGGGGUUGUUUGGAUUGACAUGGGAUAAGGCUCAUCUCCGAUGGCUAAAUUGACCACGACAUAACAGCAAUCAAUGUACAGCCGAACAGUGUCCAAGGAAAAGUCAGGUUCUGCUUACAGCUAAGGGUCACCUUCUUUAUGAGUGCUCCAUUUUAAAGACAUUUUUAGGUAGAUCUUGCCCAGCUGAAGGAAAGAGGCAUCAUGCCGAUGGUAUUGAAUGGCAUGCUUCAGACAAUCCUUUGCCUAAUACAGCAAAAAAGAUGGUAAAAAUCCACAGGGAACCCAAUUAAGA
rnacentral:lncRNA from 1 species